AUAUUACUCCUUCCGUCCGAAAAUACUUGUUGAAGAAAUGAAUGUAUCUAGAUGUAUUUUAAUUCUAGAUACAUCCAUUUUGGCGACAAGUAUUUCCGGACGGAGGGAGUAUUAU
rnacentral:pre_miRNA from 1 species